rnacentral:RNase_P_RNA from 2 species
GCGGCAGGUCACCUUAUCGCUUUGUUUUAUAAAUGAAGAGGAAAGUCCGGACACCGCAGCGCAGCAUAGCGGCUAACAGCCGUCGGUCGAGAGAUUAGGACAAGUGCAAAAGAAAGGAUGUACAGGUAAUGCUGUAGUGAAAUCAGGUAAACUCUAUGCGGUGCAACGUCAUGUAAACCAAUGUUUGAGGGUUGCGCGCCCGAUGUUGGAGGGUAGGCGGCUAGAAUGUUGCAGUAAUGUAACAUCCAGAUAAAUGAUAAGGAUCUAUUUAUAGAUACAGAAUCCGGCUUAUGACCUGCUUUUUUA